AACAGACAUAAUCUUUCAAUCAGUUUAAUUGAGGUCUGGAGCUGGCAUGUCAGUUAAUUGCUAGUAGUCUGUUGUUAUUUAUGUAUUAUUGUCAUUUUAUUUAUUUUCUUUUGUUACAUCUUUUGACAUCGGACUCGGACUUGUCUUGAACUGAAUUUUAAUGUGCGUAUUGUUAUGCGUUUACUUUUCUACAUUGGCUAGAGGUAUAGGGGGAGGGUUGAUAUCUCAUAAACAUGUUUAACCCCGCCGCAAUUUUGCGCCUGUCCGAAGUCAGGAGCCUCUGGCCUUUGUAAGUCUUGU
rnacentral:lncRNA from 1 species